CCUCGCUCGAUGUUGGUGAUGGCCCGCCGCAGGUGCUCCUCGGUCACCAGCUCGCCGAUGACCACCAGCAGAAAACCCUUAGCAGAAAUCUUUGGGCAAGCUUCAUUCAUGGAAGUUGCUGACAGCAAAGUGAAAGGGCAAAUGGCAAAGGCAUGAUCUCUAUAGAAACACAGUCACCAGAGCCUUAUGAACUGUGUUUCCAAGGGCAGAGCUGGACAAGCUCACUUCCAGGGUGAAUGAUUUGGUGGUGGAUGUGGCAGAAAUCUGUAAUAAAAGAACAGUGACUACUUCACACAGAUGAAAAUGUCCUUCUCUGGCUCGGUCCUGGCUCUUCCUACAAAAGCAUGAGCUGUGCAGUGUUCAAGGCCAACAUAUUUCUGCCAAUAAUAGAAUUUAACAAUUCCCCCAAACAAAUAGAUGCAUGAAGAAGAGAAGAAAACAAGGGUAACCUGAGAGGGUGUUCAUGUAGAUUAGCUGUGUUUAAUCUCAAUUUAACUCACCAUCUGCCUCCUCCUAACCUGCAUGUUCAAGACAGCACUGUGUUUCAAAAAGGAGUGAGAAUUGCCUGAUACAUGUGGAUGAAACAGCUGAUUCCUGUACAGUAGUUUGUUCAUGGUUCUCUUUCUGUCCCAUCAGGGUGCCUUUGUUUUAGCCAUGCUAAAAAUAAACACU